rnacentral:lncRNA from 1 species
UCGCCUACCCGCGACCCGGCUAGACCCCACUAGAUGGAUAUACGUGAGGCAUACAGCGAAAGGACAACCAGGGGAGUUCGCGAUAUCAGCUCGCGCAAGCCAAGAAGAGUUCGCAAUCCCAACUUGCAUAUACCCAAGGAAUUCGCAUGUAGGAGGCCGCGAGAUCUAGCAGGCAACCCAGAACGAUACACAUGUUCAACAUGCCCAAAACCUGUUCAGAAUGUCAAUCUUAUGAAUAAUACGGUCAAGUCCACGAACAAUAAAAUUAAAUCAUGAACAUAAAUACCCAAAUAUUUC